rnacentral:rRNA from 1 species
CCGCGAAUUCGCCCUUCGGGGUGCCCAGGCGCGAAAACUUUGCAAUAAGCGAAAGCUUGACAGGGCUAUCCCGAGUGCCAUCCGCUGAGGAAGGCUUUUACCCAGUCUAGAACGCUGGGGGAAUAAGGAGAGGGCAAGUCUGGUGUCAGCCGCCGCGGUAAUACCAGCUCUCCGAGUGGUGUGGAUGUUUAUUGGGCCUAAAGCAUCCGUAGCUGGCUAAGUUAGUCCCUUGUUAAAUCCACCGAAUUAAUCGUUGGAUUGCGGGGGAUACUGCUUGGCUAGGGGACGAGAGAGGCAGACGGUAUUUUCGGGGUAGGGGUGAAAUCCUAUAAUCCCGGGAAGACCACCAGUGGCGAAGGCUGUCUGCUAGAACGCGCCCGACGGUGAGGGAUGAAAGCUGGGGGAGCGAACCGGAUUAGAUACCCGGGUAGUCCCAGCUGUAAACGAUGCAGGCUAGGUGUUUGGACGGCCACGUGCCGUUCUAGUGCCGCAGGGAAGCUGUUAAGCCUGCCGCCUGGGGAGUACGAUCGCAAGAUUGAAACUUAAAGGAAUUGGCGGGGGAGCAC